AGUGUUUCCUGCAUACUCUUGAAGGCUAAGAUCAUGUGUAAUGUCUGUUCUUAUCAAUUUAAUAUCUGAUACAUUCUCUAUGGGUAAGUCUACAUUGCAAAGUUAAUUCAAAAUAGCAGCCGUUAUUUCAAAUUAACUUCAAUAGCGUCUAUACAUGCAAACCACUAUUUUGAAUUUAAUUCAAAAUAGCGGAGCGCUU
rfam:Pelodiscus sinensis unplaced genomic scaffold scaffold475, whole genome shotgun sequence.